CAGCAGUGCUGCCAGUGAUGUCCGUGGUUUGUUUUGUGAAUCUGGACUUUCAUCAAUCACAACGCUGAACUCGCCGGGCGCUCUACACGCACGAGACCUUAAACACCAACAUCUUCCGAGCGCCGCCGUUUCAUUUCACCUGACAGACUGCAGGAGCCGGUAACCGGAUUAUCACACCGCAAAACCAGCUUCUUUUCUCUUAACAAGUCGUUUAUUGAUGUACUGGAGUGUUGUGGACUCUCAUUCUGACGGCACCCAUUCACUAAAGAGGAUCCACUGGUGAGCAAGUGAUGUAAUGCUAAAUUUUUCCAAAUCUGUUCUGAUGAAGAAACAAACUUCAACAUCUUGGAUGACCUGAGGAUGUUUGUUCAGAAGGUGGUAGGUGUGUUUUUUCUCAAAUGACCUGAGCGUAUCGGAGCAGGAGUGGAAGGACAGAGCUGGAUUUGAAUUCAGCCUCGCAAGAAAUUAAACCCCUACAGGCCAGAGCUACAAAUCCAAAGCUGUCCAACACUACACAACCCAACAAGAGCAUUUCUGCUGCAUACUAAACAGCCCGGGCAGGACUGUGUGUUUCUCUGGUGCUGAAACAACACAUCUGGAACAUCUUUGCCUGUUUUCAUCACAGAAAAGGUGGUUCUGGGCCAGAAAACUCAGAUCUGCAGAAAAAAGUUGUAAUGACAACAACAAUCUGGCAAUACUAAUGCAAUAAGUAAAU